rnacentral:rRNA from 1 species
AUUGAACGCUGGCGGAAUGCUUUACACAUGCAAGUCGAACGGCAGCACGGACUUCGGUCUGGUGGCGAGUGGCGAACGGGUGAGUAAUGUAUCGGAACGUGCCCAGUCGUGGGGGAUAACGUAGUGAAAAUUACGCUAAUACCGCAUACGAUCUAUGGAUGAAAGCGGGGGAUCGCAAGACCUCGCGCGAUUGGAGCGGCCGAUAUCAGAUUAGGUAGUUGGUGGGGUAAAGGCCCACCAAGCCAACGAUCUGUAGCUGGUCAGAGAGGACGACCAGCCACACUGGAACUGAGACACGGUCCAGACUCCUACGGGAGGCAGCAGUGGGGAAUUUUGGACAAUGGGCGAAAGCAUGAUCCAGCCAUUCCGCGUGCGGGAUGAAGGCCCUCGGGUUGUAAACUGCUUUUGUACGGAACGAAAAGGUUUCUACUAAUACUAGGAGCUCAUGACGGUACUGUAAGAAUAAGCACCGGCUAACUACGUGCCAGCCGCCGCCGUAA